UAUUUGACUUUAGUAUCAAGUCAUAUCCAAGUUGGGGGAUGGUUUUCAUUUUACUGGUUUCUUUAAUUUGCAGCAUGAGCUUUGGAGAUUGAUAGAAUAGCAUAUCAAAUUCUUUAACAGUUGAUUUCCUUAUAUACUUAUUUUUCUGGUAAUUAAUAUAGAGGAUGCUCUGUUUUUUCUUUGAAACUUUGAAUAAUCAAAUCAUCCAUAUUUGGUAAUUGUUCUACUCAUCGAGUGUUACAGCUAUUAGACUUGAAGAUGUAAUUUCCAUGCAUUUGUUUUUCCCAAACUCAUAUGCUUUAUAUUCAGACAUUAAAGAACUAAACUUUUUCACAUUUGCAGUUAUUGUGGGAAGGGCUAGGACUUGGAAAUUGGCACAGGUUGUGAAAGCAUUAAUCAUCAGAUAAAACUUGUCUGAACAAUGAUAAUAAAAAGGUUCUUCUUGGACUUGGAGCUCAUCACAUGGAUAUUAUUCUGAAGGACAGUGCAUGGGUCGGGCACUUACUAUCUGGGUAUUCAUUGCUGAUGGAUUACCCGAACCAAAAGAAAGAACAGAAUAAAGAGGAAGUAGUUGGCGGAACAUGGAAACAUGCAAUCAAAGUUUCUUAUGAGGCUACUCAGCAAGCUUUUCCAGGGGGAGUAAUUUUGGCACAUCUAGAUCACAUGAGUUUUAAAAGUUGGCAAAAGAAUGCCAUCACAAGUUUUUUAGCAGAGCAAAAUAUACAAGUCGGGAAGCCUUCCGACUUCUUUUAACAUGAGCACGUUCCUUUGAAUUACUAUAGCUUCUGUUAU